rnacentral:rRNA from 1 species
AUUGAACGCUGGCGGCAGGCCUAACACAUGCAAGUCGAGCGGAUGAUGGGAGCUUGCUCCUGGAUUCAGCGGCGGACGGGUGAGUAAUGCCUAGGAAUCUGCCUGGUAGUGGGGGACAACGUUUCGAAAGGAACGCUAAUACCGCAUACGUCCUACGGGAGAAAGCAGGGGACCUUCGGGCCUUGUGCUAUCAGAUGAGCCUAGGUCGGAUUAGCUAGUAGGUGAGGUAAAGGCUCACCUAGGCGACGAUCCGUAACUGGUCUGAGAGGAUGAUCAGUCACACUGGAACUGGGACACGGUCCAGACUCCUACGGGAGGCAGCAGUGGGGAAUAUUGGACAAUGGGCGAAAGCCUGAUUCAGCCAUGCCGCGUGUGUGAAGAAGGUCUUCGGAUUGUAAAGCACUUUAAGUUGGGAGGAAGGGCAGUAAGUUAAUACCUUGCUGUUUUGACGUUACCGACAGAAUAAGCACCGGCUAACUUCGUGCCAGCAGCCGCAGUAACAC